rnacentral:rRNA from 1 species
UACGUAGGGGGCAAGCGUUGUCCGGAAUUAUUGGGCGUAAAGAGCGCGUAGGCGGUCCGAUAAGUCGGCUGUGAAAGUCAGGGGCUCAACCCUUGGAAGCCGGCCGAUACUGUCGGACUAGAGUCCGGAAGAGGCGGAGUGGAAUUCCCGGUGUAGCGGUGAAAUGCGCAGAUAUCGGGAGGAACACCAAUGGCGAAGGCAGCUCGCUGGGACGGUACUGACGCUGAGGCGCGAAAGCGUGGGGAGCAAACAGGG